rnacentral:misc_RNA from 1 species
UUUCAACUUACCUUUAAUUAGUGGGCCAUAACAUAGUAUGAUAAUAAAUGCUGUUGAGCAUUAGUGUACUAAAACCACAAGUUUCUAAAUAAUUACCCAUUUCAAUAGCAACCAAAAAAACAGAGAUGAUUCAUACCAAGUAGAUUGAUAUUCCCACUAACAAUUUUAAUACUAAAAUUAAGUUAUUCAAACUACUUUCAAAGCCAAAUGAGUUCUUUGGAAAUUUUCGAAUAGAUUAUUGAACCAAUUCCUCUGAUCACAUAACAUUCAAAAGGGCAAUCUAUCAUAACCCUCCAGUUAUAUGGGGGCACGGUCGUCCAUUAGCAUUGGAUUUGCACAUCUGAUUCAAUUCAAAUUAUUAUUUGGUACUAGAUUCAUUCAACAAAUAAACAGAUGAACUUACCCACGG